CCUACGGGUGGCAGCAGUGGGGAAUAUUGCACAAUGGGCGCAAGCCUGAUGCAGCCAUGCCGCGUGUGUGAAGAAGGCCUUCGGGUUGUAAAGCACUUUCAGCGGGGAGGAAGGCGUUAAGGUUAAUAACCUUGGCGAUUGACGUUACCCGCAGAAGAAGCACCGGCUAACUCCGUGCCAGCAGCCGCGGUAAUACGGAGGGUGCAAGCGUUAAUCGGAAUUACUGGGCGUAAAGCGCACGCAGGCGGUCUGUCAAGUCGGAUGUGAAAUCCCCGGGCUCAACCUGGGAACGGCAUUCGAAACUGGCAGGCUAGAGUCUUGUAGAGGGGGGUAGAAUUCCAGGUGUAGCGGUGAAAUGCGUAGAGAUCUGGAGGAAUACCGGUGGCGAAGGCGGCCCCCUGGACAAAGACUGACGCUCAGGUGCGAAAGCGUGGGGAGCAAACAGGAUUAGAUACCCCAGUAGUC
rnacentral:rRNA from 1 species